rnacentral:rRNA from 1 species
CGACCUCAGAUCAGGUGGGACUCCCCGCCGAAUUUAAGCAUAUUAGUAAGCGGAGGAAAAGAAACUAACGAGGAUUCCCUCAGUAGCUGCGAGCGAACAGGGAAAAGCCCAGCACUGAAUCCCAAAGGCCUCGCCUUUAGGGAGAUGUGGUGUUUUGGAGCGUCCGUUUAACCCGGGGUUCGUGCACCGCGUUCAAGUCCAUCUUGAACGGGGCCACGGUCCGUAGAGGGUGCCAGGCCCGUAGCUGACCGGUGCCGGCCCCGGGUGGGCGUCUCCUUAGAGUCGGGCUGCUUGAGAGUGCAGCCCUAAGCGGGUGGUAAACUCCAUCUAAGGCUAAAUACAACCACGAGACCGAUAGAGAACAAGUACCGUGAGGGAAAGUUGAAAAGAACUUUGAAGAGAGAGUUCAAGAGUACGUGAAACCGCUCAGGGGUAAACGGAAAAGACCCGAAACACCGAAACGAGAGAUUCACGUCUCGUCGAUGGAGUCGGUAUCCCUUAGGGGGGAUGGCCUAAUGCCCCGUCCGGUUCGUCCGUGUCGGUGGGUAGGCUGCCCUCUCGGGUGUCCGUUUCCACGGGGGACCGCAAUUCUCUCGCAGUAGGACGUCGCGACCCGCUCUGCGGCGGUCUAACGGCCGGAAGAAUGCCUGGUCGCGGCCCAUCUCUCGGGGUGGGUUCUCGACCAGCUCUCCGGACCCGCGGCCGUCGGUCCGGGCGGUAUGAAACGACUCAGCGCUGGGCCGCUCCUCGAGAGCGCCGAGCCUCCUCGCAAGCUCGGGACGGGCUGUCGGGCCGUACUCUCACGGGUACGUCCGGCUCCCUCCUGGACUGUUGGCGGGUGACGGCUCCGGCAGACGUCCAGCACGCUUGUCGGCGGCGCUUCAGAUUCGGGAACUUAUCCGACCCGUCUUGAAACACGGACCAAGGAGUCUAGCGUGUGCGCGAGUCAUUGGGUGUAAAACCUAAAGGCGUAAUGAAAGUGUCAGAGGGCGCUUGCGUUCUCAGUGGGAGGAUGGGCUGUGCGGCCUUUCGGCCGCCGCCCCGCACUCCCGGGGCGUUUCAUUCUCAUUGCGAGUCGAGACGCACCAGGAGCGCACACGCUGGUACCCGAAAGAUGGUGAACUAUGCCUGGCCAGGACGAAGCCAGGGGAAACCCUGGUGGAGGUCCGAAGCGAUUCUGACGUGCAAAUCGAUCGUCUGAGCUGGGUAUAGGGGCGAAAGACCAAUCGAACCAUCUAGUAGCUGGUUCCCUCCGAAGUUUCCCUCAGGAUAGCUGGCUCUCGGGAAGAGACGAGUCUCAUCCGGUAGAGCGAAUGAUUAGAGGUGAUGGGGUCGAAACGACUUCAACCUAUUCUCAAACUCCCAAUAGAUGAGAGCCCCGGCUUGCUUGAAAGUGAAGCCGUGGGACUCGGAUCAGAGUGCCAAGUGGGCCAAUUUUGGUAAGCAGAACUGGCGCUGUGGGAUGAACCAAACGCAGAGUUAAGGCGCCUGAUUCGACGCUCAUCUGAAACCAUGAAAGGCGUUGGUUGCUUAAGACAGCAGGACGGUGGCCAUGGAAGUCGGAAUCCGCUAAGGAGUGUGUAACAACUCACCUGCCGAAGCAACUAGCCCUGAAAAUGGAUGGCGCUGUAGCGUCGUGCCUAUACUCUGCCGUCAACGGCAAAGCGGGCGGCCCCUCACGGGGCGUCGCCGUUACGCCUUGACGAGUAGGAGGGUCGCGGCGGUGUGCGCGGAAGGGUCUGGGCGUGAGCCCGCCUGGAGCCGCCGCCGGUGCAGAUCUUGGUGGUAGUAGCAAAUACUCCAGCGAGGCCCUGGAGGACUGAUGUGGAGAAGGGUUUCUUGUGAACAGCUGUUGCACAAGAGUCAGUCGAUCCUAAGCCCUAGGAGAAAUCCGAAGCGAUUGUCUGCCGUUAAACUCUCUAGUGCCCGUCUCGAGCCCGCGUCGUCGGGUCUCGGGGCGGUGUUCUUCCUGAGCUGGCAGCGUUUGGGCGAAAGGGAAUCCGGUUCCUAUUCCGGAACCCGGCAGCGGAACCGAUCCAAUUCGGGCCCUCAUCCGAGGACUCGUCGGGGCAACCCAAAAUGACCCGGAGAAGCCGUAGGGAGGUCCGGGGAGAGUUGUCUCUUCUCUAUAAGCGUUCGAGUUCCCUGGAAUCCUCUAGGAGGGAGAUAGGGUUUGGAACGCGAAGAGCACCGCACUUACGGCGGUGUCCGGAUCUUCCCCUCGGACCUUGAAAAUCCGGGCGAGGGCCACGAGGAACACCGCGCCGGCUCGUACCCAUAUCCGCAGCAGGUCUCCAAGGUGAAUAGCCUCUAGUCGAUAGAAUAAUGUAGGUAAGGGAAGUCGGCAAACCCGAUCUGUAACUUCGGGAUAAGGAUUGGCUCUGAGGAUCGUGGCGCGCCGGGCUUGGUCGGGAAGUGGAGCGGAGCUAACGUGCCGGGCCUGGGCGAGGUGAAGGGCGUUCGCGUCUGGACCCUAGCUCGGUCCCGUGCCUUGGCCACC